UUCUCUCCUGAUGAGGUCUGCAGACAUCCUUACCUGUUCUUCCUAGCAAGCUGUUUCUCUGAUGUUUUAAAUAGGCAUCAGAGAAAUAAACAACAGAAACUUAAUGAUACCUGAAGAUGAAGAUGUAGAGCACAGAGAGAUUCAGAGGAAGUCCCAGAAUGAAUUCUACAGCCAUCACCCCGGAGAGGACUUCGUACAUGGAGUGAAUCCUCUCUCUGAAGGCACAGAUUUCCUUCUCUCCUUCUUAUCUGAUGUAUUCAACAAUUCCCGUCAGAAAUCCUUGCAGUGAUUGUGGAGCCCAGACAAUUCUUUCCUACCCAUGCCAAAAGAUACCGAGGAAAGACACACAGUAAACUUACAAAAGAAAUCCAAUUCAAGCAUCACUGAGUGGAGGAGAAAAUACCCGGUCAGAGUGUGUGUUCUCUAUUUAUGUGAGGCUGCAACUGAUCCCUUACAGAGGAACAACAUACAUUUCAUCUGGAGGUGUGGUUUAAGGAGAAUGGCUCAACUCACCAAGAAGCAUCAAAGCUCCUUGUUGAGGGAUUUCUUAAGUUUUCAAACUGUAUAAUUCCUGUGCCUAUCUGUCAAAAGGCAACAUGCCAGCACAUUUUAAUUUAUUCCUCUUAUUAAGAAUCACUGAGAAGCACUUUAGGGGAAAUAGGACAUAAUCUUCUGCUGGUAGGCAACUAAAAACAAGCUGGGAGAAAAGUGAGAUUAAAUCUUGCUUUUGAUCCAAAAAAACUACAAUUCUAUAACUUGCUUAAAGUUUCCUGAAGAUGUGAUUAAGACUCUUACAGGAGUGUAUAAGGCCCUGAGUGAGUUAUUUAUGCAGUUUGUUGCUGUUGGAUCGUCUCAAGCCUUUUCUGUGAAGUAUAAAUGGAAGAAUAAUCAGAGGCUCGUUGCUGUAACUUUGAAAUUGUCCAAUGCCUCCACACUUUGGUGCAGGUUUGUUUUUUUGUAUUUACUAUGGUUAUGUUUUUUUUAUAUGUGGAUACCAUUUAAACUAUUUUAGAAAAAGUCUAAAUAAUCUGUGGAAUACCAAUAAAAGAGCAAUUAGGUCUGAAAAAAUUCAACUGAAAAAAUGUAAGCCAGCCAGGCUUUUAAAUCCCCAAUGCAGGUUUGCAACUUCAUUAAGUUUCAUGGACAAUAAGACCUGGCUGUCAUCUCAAUACCAAGAAAAAUGUUUAUGACAUUUCCUGGUCAUUUUGCUCAAGGGGAGCAUUGAAUGGAAAAAUAGAUGUGCAACAAUAUUGGUGCAGAUUAGUCAAACUGGCUUUUAUUUCCCUGUUUGGUGCCCUUGUAAGCAGGCUGCUGAUGGCUUCUCUGCUGCUUCAAAUCUGCUGCUUUUCUUUAUUGCAGAUGGUAUUUGCUAUGACCUUUAAGAUUUGGCUGUGGCACCAACUGUAGUCCCCUAAUCCAGGGAUUUUGGACACCAAUUGAAGACUUACUCAAGUGGGCACAACAAGAGGCUUGCACUCACACAGAAAACGACUACAUCCACCCUCCAAUAACAACUCUAUGACCCCCUCCUCUCUUCCAUCUGACCCCCUACCUGCACUAAAGAAGGAAGAUGUAAAUAGGCUCUUUCAGUGUCGGAAAACCAGGAAAGCUCCAGAACCUGAUGGUAUUUCCCCCUUCUGCCUGAAAGCCUGUGCUGACCACCUGGCUCCCAUCCGUACUAAAAUCUUGAACAGGUCUCUGUAGUUGUGUAAAGUUUCCUUCUGCUUCAACCAUCAUACCGGUCCAUAGCAGGACUAAAUGACCACAGACCUGUUGCCCUGACCUCUGUGGUCAUUAAUUCCUUUGAGCAAAUGGUGUUAAAGCAUCUGAAAGACAUCACAGGCCCCCUGCUGGAACCCCUGCAAUUUGCAUGCGGAGCAAACAGGUCGACAGAUGAUGCAGUCAGCUUGGGACUAUAUUUCAUCCUCCACCAGAAGCUCACCCAGGUCAAGGUGUCAGCUUCUACCUGUCAGUGGAUCACCAGCUUCCUUACUGACCGGUAGCAGCAGGCGAGACUGGAACUCUUCUCCCGCACAAGAACCAUCAACACCGGUGCCUCCCUUCUUUAUGGAUCCCCUGACCUCUUCUUGGAUUAGCAGCCUUCUGGCCUGAAAUAAAGUGUUGUGUCCAAGCCUGCCCUCCCAUUGGCCAGUGUUCCCACCACUGGUCAGGUCUGGUUCUCUGCCUGUUUCUGUUACUCUUCACUUCCAAGCUGUCUGGACAUCAGUGCCAGGCUGGUACACUUCCAACAUGUUUAUUCAUUUUCUGCAAACAUGUGCCAUGCUGGGCUUGUAAAGCCCUGGGAAAUCUCUAAUUGAUGCAACCUCAGGAAAAAAUGUCAUUUAGUAAUUUCUGCUAGCAGGUGAGAAAAUGUUAUGCUCAUUAACAAUUUGGGUUUUUACGAUUUGGUCACAGUGUUCUUGCAAGAACCACAAGUUUUAACUUACAUGGCAGCAUCUGCAGUUCUUGCCUAAAGGAAUAUUUUUAUGUCUUUGGCAUUUCUUCAAAAUUUUCCUCUUAAUUUAGUCCAGUUUUUAUUCAGUCUAUGAAGACUUGAGAUUUUAUGUUAUUUUUCACAUCAGGGUAACUAGAAUUCUGCUCUUACCUCCUUCUUAUUAGUUCUUCAUUUUAGUCAGUCUUUGCACUGCCUGACAUAAAAGAAGUGUCCUUGCUCUGCAGAUCCUAAUGGAUUUGUAAUUUGUCUGGAUUAUAAAGCUUUUACUGCAACAGGAGGUGAACCACAGAAUGCAUUUGUGUUGAAAAGAUGGCAGAUGCACUCGUUCUCAUACUACUUGGUUGAGAUGCCAACAAAUUAGAUUUGCAGCUAAAGAAAAAGAACAAUUUAUUUUUCUUGGUGCAACAAUCAGAUUUUUUUAGAUUUGUUUUGUGUCUCUAGUGGCCUUUAUUUAGUCAUUUUUGAAAGCAGGCAGACAGGAAACGGGAUGAAGAGGGAGAGGAAGACAUGCAGUACAAGUCGCCGUGGCCCGGACUCGGACCAGGGGACAUCUGCGUCGACGGCUGAAGCCUCUGCACGCUCUACCGUAGCGCUGCGCCCUACAAAACUGCUUAUUUAAUGUAUUUCGUAUAUUUUGUAACAUACCAAGUGCAUGGCAUUUAAAGCUCAAAUUACAGUGGACAAGCCUAUUAAAAAAACUAAAGAUUUUUUUCCAUUUUGUUGUCAAAGAGGACAGAACAAAGUAGCACUGAGUAGGCAGCUAGAUGGUACAGAAGUCCAAAUGUGUCUUAACUAACUCACAUUAGGUAAUACUCUACAGAUUAAAUGACAGGUGAUGCCUGGCCUUUGUUCUCAGAGAAGAUCUGAGUGUGGUUUAUCACAAGAGACAAUCAGUUUUUUCUCAAGCUUUAUAGGUUUUUAAGUAUUGUUUGUCAGACUCAUCCUGGUCAUGAAUGUAUUUUAGGACAACUCUGAUCACCUUUGCAAUUGGAAUCCUCUUUCUCCUGUUUUCUCACAUAAAUUCCAAAUAAUUUAACAUUUUUGUCCUCAUUUGCUAAUUUGGACCAGUACUAGACAAGCAGUGAUACCCUUUUGACAUGCUUUCCUAGUCUGGGUUAAAAGGAAGUACACCCUCUUUUAAAUCUAGCAUUUUAUGUGUCUGGAUAUAAAUAUCAUCUGGUUUUCAUCCAGGUUCUAAAACUGUAUAAAUCUCAGUGAAAAAAAAAAACUGAUAAAAGGGAGACCAAACUAAUUCGCCAUGUAGCUUUGGAAAAAGAAAAAGAAAAGAAGGUGGUGUUAAAGUCUAUUAAACCACACUAGGGACGAAGAAGAGUGGAGACUUUUUCCUGCCGAACAGUUUAUUGUGUGGCACCACGUGUAUGGUGGUGAAAAUUGAUCGCAGAUUUUCUCUGAACUUCUGCUUGUAUCUCACUGAAGAAUCCACAUGUGGAGUACUGCAAAGAACUAUUAGUUUUAUUUGUGGUUCAGUGGUGAAAUGUGUAAAAUGCUGAACUUACAGUUCUUAGCAUUGUCUCUGAGCUCAACCAUUAGCAAGUCCAACUGCUUUUCCAAAUUGCAACCUGAACACGAUUAUGUUUGUAUACCAGGUCCAAGUUCUGACUUCCAAGCUAAACGGUACACGGCUUUAGUAGCUGUGGUAUCUGUUAGAUUGUGGAUGUUUUUAUUGGUUUGUACUGGUGCAUUAGGGAGACGUUUGCCUUCAAGGAGUUAGUUUUAGCACUUUUCAUUUAACAUUAGUGGUUCUUCUAAAAUUCUCCUUUCAGAAUCCAAACUGAAGGAGCGUGGUUGACUUAUUAAAACACGUUAGACCAAAUCACAUUUUAAACAGAACGUUCUAUUCAAGUCAAACAUUAAAUUAACCUCCUGCACUAAAACAUGCAGAGCUAAUGAUUUCCAAUUUAAACAUUAAUUUCUGUAAAGCAUCACGCUUACCCUCCCACUUUCCUUCACUUCAUCCUCUGUCACACUAUGUUCUAGAUAUGAGGUAAUAUUGCACGAAACCAGUGUAACAUUACUGCGCAAACACAUACACACAGCCAGGCAUCUGCAGUCCUCCCCCUUGGCAACUGCAACUAGAUAGUCCACCAAAAUGCCAAUUAUCCACAAACCACCCCCAUCUCAUUCCGGUAGGAACGGAAAAUAUUUAAACUAACCCUAACCCAGUUACAAGGAAAUUAUACAGUGUUUGCAGUGGCGAAGGGAAGUAGUUAAACAGAUGUAUUUAGCAGAUAAGUAACCUAAAAUAAAAAUAAAAACAUCCUUAAAGAGGGUAGGAUGCCACGUAAAAGUCGAUCAUCUAACUGGAAAUGUAAAAGCUGUUCUGUGGGAACCAGCUAAAUACUUACAAAUUAACAUCCUUGAUCUUCUUUCUUCCUGUUUUCUCAAAAAAGAUAAAAGGUUGACUGAAGUACAAAAUGAAUCUUACACCAGCCACCCUAUGGAGGAAGUUUCAGACAUAGAGCUCAGAGGCACUGCUCCUGAACAUCGCUAGGUUGUUUUCUGACUCUGAGCAGAGGACACCUAUUGAUGUAUGGAAGGUGAGCUGCACAACGAACUGCGGAGGAGGCGGCCUACAGUCCGACCUGACAGACACGCUUCGCCUUGCCAGUCACUUUGCUGCUGGUACAUCUGAAUUGCCCACUGAUGGACAAUGAAGAUUAUUCUGUGCGUAAACCCUGAGGAAGGUUUUGUCUGCGCACACCUUCUGGGAGAUGGAAAAUGGCAGAGAUUCUCUAUCAGAUUGAAGUUGGGACUUUGGCUGGGCCACUUCCAGUGACAAGAAACAUGUAUCCAUCCAUCGUCCUUCCCUACAUUUUCCUCGUCAGGGUCAUGGGGGAGCGGGGGCCACACAAAUCCACCUUUAAGGAACAUUUAGAGAAAACCACGGGGAGAACAUACCAUCUCCAUGCAGAAAAAAACCCAGGCAAGGAUUUCAACCCAGGACUCUGCAAGUCCAUAGUGCUAAAAUUGAUGUCACCUUAGAAACAUGCUGGUAAACCUUUAUGUGGCAUGGGUAUAAAUAAUUUUUGACUUAACUGUAGCUUUCAUGUGAACAACUGAAUCACUUCUGCUGAGAACUGCUUUACAUCGGUGUUGCCUGGACUUGACCAACUUAUAGCAUCUGUGAACAGGUUAUCCCAGCCUGUUGGAUUAGACUAUUUUUGGUAGUUUCUCUGUAUUUCUUCAGUGUGCCACAAAAAACAGCAAUUUGUAUAUCACCCUACAGAGUUUUUAUUUAAUUAAAGUCCAGGGACAUUAAUGUUGUUGGUCUGGAACCAAGAUGCUGCUUGUUUAUCGACGUGUUUGGGGUCGUCUUCUCGUCGAAACAUCUAAUUUAAGGGCAAUACACCCAUACUACGAUGCUUCACAGUUCUUGAACGUUUGCUGGUCAUCUGACAAACUGUCUGUCUAUGCCCAAGCAGAACAAACUUGCUUUUAUUUGUUAAGAACAUGUUGCACGAGUUCUACCUAGGCCAUUCAGUUGUCUUUUUUUUUGGUUAAAUUGUAAUCUCUUCAGCCCAUGUUGCUAUUCCAACAAUGGGAGUUUGUGGCCUUUUUGCUGAUAGCUUGGCUUUAGAGAGGCGUUUUCUUGUUUUUAGAGGACUCAGACGUAACUGGAGAUCUUUGAUCACCCUGAAUCUGAUCCUUGACUGAGACUGUGUCAUUUUGGUUAUUUUUCACCACACUGCAGCAAUAGUUUUCCCGUUUUGUUUGGUUUUGAUCUCCAUUUUAAGCGCUCGAGAUCAUUUCAGGUGAGCAUCAAUUUGUACACUUCCUCUUAUGUUUCCCCACUCCAAUCAAGUACCCUGUUUUUCUGAGCAAUGACUAAUUGAACUCCACGCUGCUAUUACUUUGAACAAGCCCCAAUGAAUUAAUUAUUCAGUUACACAGAAGCAGCAGCAGCAUGCACAUAAAGACUGUAGGUUCUGUUGGGUCUCUAUUAUCUACUAUGCCUACUAGUGAAUUAUUUUUCAUGUGGAAAUAUAAUCCAUACAAUAAACAGCAACAGAUUUUCUAUACAUAACUGUAUAUUGAAACAUCACCUUUCGUGUGAUGCCUGCAGUUUUGGGAUGGUGAUUGAGGUGUUGCCAUGGCAGCAGUCUGUGAUAGUCUGAGCUAUGAAAAGGAGACCCCCGCCAGUAGAGGUUCCAGUCUUCCU